UCCCUGGUGGCUAGAUGGUAAAGAAUCUGCCUGUCGUGCAGAAGACCUGGGUUUAAUCCCUGGGUCGGGGAG
rnacentral:tRNA from 1 species